rnacentral:rRNA from 1 species
ACGCUGGCUGCAUGCUUAACACAUGCAAGUCGAACGAGAAAGUACCUUCGGGUAUGAGUAAAGUGGCGGACGGGUGAGUAAUGCAUAGGAAUCUGCCCAGUAGUGGGGGACAACUCGGGGAAACUCGAGCUAAUACCGCAUAUUUCCUACGGGAGAAAGACUUCGGUCGCUAUUGGAUGAGCCUAUGUCAGAUUAGCUUGUUGGUAGGGUAAUGGCCUACCAAGGCGACGAUCUGUAGCUGGUCUGAGAGGAUGAUCAGCCACACUGGGACUGAGACACGGCCCAGACUCCUACGGGAGGCAGCAGUGGGGAAUAUUGGACAAUGGGCGAAAGCCUGAUCCAGCAAUGCAGCGUGUGGAAGAAGGC